UUUUAUAAUUGCAGGACCCUUUAACCAAAAAGUUCACACUCACUAAGGCUUUAUUCCUCUCUCUUUAUUUAUUCCAUUCUCUCUCAUUAGACUAUUGCUUAAAAAACAAAACGAGUUUGUACGUGCACUUGUCUGAUUGUCCCGCAAUUUGGGUGAUAGAGUUUUGGAAUGUUUUGGUGGGGGCUUCCCUUUCACUCUGAUUCCCCACUUAAGCUUUUAUAAUUUGUAAUACAAAGUAGUUGUGAAGCAUACUGUGUGUUAAGAAAGUACAGCUCGAAGAUUUCUGGUGUAAUAAAACAGAUCUAAAAGAGAGUUUAUUCUUUCAGUACUAAUAGUUAGAUUUUCUGUUUUAAAUCUCAAAGUCAAGGAGGAGCAGGAGUAGCACUGUAACACAGCCUGGAGGCAUCUCAAGCUGCUGUCUCAGGCAUCCAACAACAUCAUACUUCAUACUGAUACUGUCCACCACCAUGGGGAACUUUAAUUUGUACUUAAUUGGGUGGGUGCAUAAAGUAAGGAUGAAUGUGAUCCAUGGGGAAAUUAUAAUAUGUGUCCGCGAGAUUAUAUCAUAUAUAUAUAUAUAUAUAUAUAUAUAUCUA